AUGUGCAAUGGGCGGACGGCAGCUUGUGCGGUGGUGCAGGGGCCUCAACGGGUGCACAAUGGGGACUCCAUGCAUCUCCUACGCACCGCAACCCUCCCCUUCUCGGCACAGCAGAAACAAGGAUGCCGAGGCGGUUCAGUUGCGAGGAAGAGUAGGAAGAUCGGGCGGAGAGGGUUUCACAUACCUCUUCUACACUUACAAGUGUUCCUUUCCAGGAUUUCCAUGGGGGCUUUGGAUGGUGGCCUUGAUAUUCCACACAGUGACAAGAGAUUUGUUGGCUUCAAGAAGGAUGAGAAGCAGCUGGACACUGAGAUUAAUCGCAACUACAUUUAUGAAGAUCAUGUUGCAAACUACAUGAAGUCAAUAGCUGAUGCAGAACCUGAGAAGUACCAAUUUCACUUUAGUGAGUACAUCAAGAAGGGGAUUGCGGCUGAUGACAUGGAAGCACUGCACAAGAAGGUUCAUGCUACCAUUCGUGCUGAUCCUACCAUGGCAAAAUCAACCGAGGAACCUCCAAAGACGCACAAGAGGUAUAAUCUCAAGAAGCAGUGA
rnacentral:rRNA from 1 species